CUCGCCCCUAGGGGGAGAGAGCAGGACAGGGAAUGGGACCCAGGUGUCCUGGACAGCAGUGCAGGGCACUCGCCCCUAGGGGGAGAGAGCAGGACAGGGAAUGGGACCCAGGUGUCUGGGACAGCAGUGCAGGGCACUCGCCCCUGGUGGGAGGGAGCAGGACAGGGAAUGGGACCCGGUGUCUGGGACAGCAGCGCAGGGCACUCGCCCCUAGGGGGAGGGAGCAGGCCGGGGAAUGGGACCCAGGUGUCCGGGACAGCAGCGCAGGGCACUCGUCCCCGGCGGGAGGGAGCAGGCCGGGGAAUGGGACCCAGGCGUCCCAGUGCAGAGUGCUCACCCUGUGCCCCCUCUCCCCAGCUACACCGCCUGGUGUUCAGCCUGCGUCACAGCAAAGAGGAGCGCGUGGACCUGGACACGGAGGAGGAGGAGGAGGAGGAGGAGAGAAGGAGGCAGGAAACGAGGCAGCAACAGGGAGUGGCUGCGAACGGGGCUGUGGAGCACGUGCUGGAGGUGGAAGGCCCCCCGGCUGGUCAGCCCCAGGGCAGCGUGGGGCGCUGCAUGGCCUGGCUCUGCAGCCUGGGGGGUGCACCGCAGCGGGCACCGGAGCCGGGUGUGGAGCGGCUGCCAGACAUCACGGAGCACCCGACCUGGAGCCGGGUCGUCAACCUCAACGCCAUCGCCAUGAUGGCCCUCGCCCUCUUCCUGUGGGGCUAUUACGCCUGAGCCGCUGCAAUGGGGAGCCCCACCGCGGGGAGCCCUCCCACCUCUGCCACGGGGCUCCCAGGCCGCCUCCCACCUCAGCCCCCCACUGCGGCCAAAUAAACCCUCUUUCCUCUAGCCCCUCCCCGUGCCCUCUAUUCAAUGGGGCCUCUCCCUGUUGUGGGGUCCCCUCUGCCCUAUGCACCUCCCCCUCCCCCAAGGUAUUUUCUGGGGGCUCCCCUUCCCCCCAACCCCAGUGCAGAGACCACAGGAAGAGGGAGGAAACGGGAGGGGGUCAGCAGAGCCCCCAGCCCUCACCGACCACCAGCCCGGCCUCCCACCAGCCCCAUGAAACUCAGGCUGGGAAGAGUGUGGAGGGAAAGCAAUAGACAAAUAAAUGAAUGGGAAACUCCA
rnacentral:lncRNA from 1 species